rnacentral:rRNA from 1 species
CCUACGGGAGGCAGCAGUGAGGAAUAUUGGUCAAUGGGCGUAAGCCUGAACCAGCCAAGUCGCGUGAAGGAUGAAGGUUCUAUGGAUCGUAAACCUCUUUUAUAUGGGAAUAAAGUGUGGGAUGUAUCCUGUUUUGUAUGUACCUUAUGAAUAAGGAUCGGCUAACUCCGUGCCAGCAGCCGCGGUAAUACGGAGGAUCCGAGCGUUAUCCGGAUUUAUUGGGUUUAAAGGGUGCGUAGGUGGACUGUUAAGUCAGUGGUGAAAGUUUGCGGCUCAACCGUAAAAUUGCCGUUGAAACUGGGAGGCUUGAGUAUGGUAGAGGCAGGCGGAAUGCGUGGUGUAGCGGUGAAAUGCUUAGAUAUCACGAAGAACCCCGAUUGCGAAGGCAGCUCGCCAAGCUAUGACUGACACUGAUGCACGAAAGCGUGGGGAUCAAACAGGAUUAGAUACCCUGGUAGUC